GUUUGGUUACAGGUAAGUACCUACCUAACGCUUGAUGAAAUGGCAGUGAUCUGUAGAAUAAAUGUUAUUGUGCUAUGUAUAUUUUUCACAUCUUGUACUGCGAAAAGAGCAUCGAAAAAUGAGUUUCAUGUGGAAUUUCCAAAUAUGGAAGUUAACAUUGGGCAUCAUAAGAACGUACCACUGAAGCCAAGGCAUCGCAAAGACGUUAAGUUCGAACUGAACUCCAAGGUAUUCUCACUACUCUCGAAAAUUUUCAAAAUAAACGGUCGACGUGACGAUGUAGCUAAUAUAGAGAUAGGCCCAGGUGUCUACAAGUCGCCCAUAGUGAAAUAUCCAGAGAAAUUUCUGGAAAAACGCCUGAAGUAUCUAAUGGAGCUGAAGAAGAAGAAAGAUGCGAAGAAAAAGGGAUGAUUUAUUAUUAUUACUGAAUUACUGAUAAAAAUGUACAAAUGAAUAUAAUAAAAU